AACGUAGGUCACAAGCGUUGUCCGGAAUUACUGGGUGUAAAGGGAGCGCAGGCGGGAAGAUAAGUUGGAAGUGAAAUCCAUGGGCUCAACCCAUGAACUGCUUUCAAAACUGUUUUUCUUGAGUAGUGCAGAGGUAGGCGGAAUUCCCGGUGUAGCGGUGGAAUGCGUAGAUAUCGGGAGGAACACCAGUGGCGAAGGCGGCCUACUGGGCACCAACUGACGCUGAGGCUCGAAAGUGUGGGUAGCAAACAGG
rnacentral:rRNA from 1 species